rnacentral:lncRNA from 1 species
AGACCCCAUAGAAGCCCCACAAGACCCCAUAACGACCCCAUAGCAACCCGUAAGACCCCAUAGAACGCCUUAAAACCCCAUAGAACCCCAAUAAGACCCCAUACGAACCCCAUACCGGGCUGCUGGCCGGCAACUAUGGGGUCCUAUGGGGUCUUAUGGGGUCCUAUGGGGUCUUGUGGGGUCCUAUGGGGUCUUAUGGGGUCCUAUGGGGUCUUAUGGGGUUCUAUGGGGUCUUAUGGGGUUCUAUGGGGUCUUGUGGGGUCCUAUGGGGUCUUAUGGGGUCCUAUGGGGUCUUAUGGGGUUCUAUGGGGUCUUGUGGGGUCCUAUGGGGACAUGGGGGGUCCUAUGGGGUCCUAUUGGGUCUUGGGGGGUCCUAUGGGGUCUUACAGGGCCUUGUGGAGUUCUAUGGGGUCUUGUGGGGUUCUAUGGGGUCUUAUGGGGCCCUAUGGGAUUAUAUGGGGUCUUGGGGGUCCUAUGGGGUCUUGGGGGGUCUUAAGGGGUCUAGGGGUUCCUAUGGGAUCCCGGGGGGUCCUGCAUUGUCUUGUGGGGUCCUGUGGGGUCUUAUGGAGCCCUAUGGGAUUAUAUGGGGUCUUAGGGGUCAUAUGGGGUCUUGUGGAGUCCUAUGGGGUUCUAUGGGGUCUUAUGGGAUCUUGGGGGUCCUGUGUUGUCUUGUGGGGUCCUAUGGGGUCUUGGGGUUCCUGUGGGGUCUCAAGGGGUCCUAUGGGGUCUUAUGGGGCCCUAUGGGAUUAUAUGGGGUCUUGGGGGGUCCUAUGGGGUCUUGUGGGGUCUUAAUGGAUUAUAUGGGGUCUUGGGGGGUCCUAUGAGGUCCUGGGGGUCCUAUGGGGUCUUGGGGGUCCUAUGGGGUCCUGGGUGGGUCUUAAGGUUCCUAUGGGAUGUUGGGUGGCCUGUGUUGCCCUAUGGAUUCUAUGGGUCUGCCCUAUGGAUCCUAUGGGUCUGCCCUAUGGAUCCUAUGGGUCUGCCCUAUGGAUCCUAUGGGUCUGCCCUAUGGAUUCUAUGGGGCUGCCCCUAUGGAUCCUAUGGGGCUGUGUUGCCCUAUG